rnacentral:lncRNA from 1 species
AAUUAAAGAAUAGAAGAAAAUAAAUUUAUGUAAGCAGAACACUGAAACAAUAAAGGAAGUAUCUACUUUAUACUUUAAAAAUACAAGCUGGUCUUACAGAAGAUUGGAUCUGUACUGCAAAGGUACUUUUUUUCAGUGUGUGUGUUUGAAGAUACACGUGUAUAUAUAUGGGGAGAGGGGGAAGCAGGGAGAUGGCAAUGUCCUAAAGAGUUUACAGACUUCAGAGUAUAGGCCUGCAAACAGCAUAUCAUUUGAGAGGAUGUACUUUGCACUGCUUUCUUUGAAAAUUGUUAUUAAAUCUGAAUAUAGUUGUAAUUUUUAAGUAAAUAGUAUUCUGCCCCACCAACGUAAUACUGUUACAAGAUACUCACUUUGACUUCAAAGCCUCAGUGGAAGAAACCGAUGAAUCUUGUUUACCUGGAAACACAAAUAUCAGCUUACCAUAGCUGGCUAGUAUGCUUGUUUUCUGUCAGCUUCUGGUUUUGUUUUCUUGGGGUUUUUUUCUUGUUGAAACUGUGUGUGCAAGCACAGUCAACAAGUACUUAAUAUUUCCUUUUGAAUUUAAGGGCAUGUUGACUCUGUUGUCCUAACAGUAGUAGUACCUUUCUAAGAUGUGCAAAUUAAGCAGGGAAGCAAUGACAUUUAGAAGUAAAGUUCAAAGCCUAUUGUCAAUGCAAAUCCACCCAUUAAUUAGAUUUCUUCUUCUGUGACACAUCAGUUUUCUAUUUGUGUUCUGUCUGAGGUUGGAAGCUGCCUUAAAAGUCUUGGUUUGAGUGUGUUUUCUGAGGCUAUACAUAUCAGUUGUCUUUGGCUUACUCAGGGAUUUUUAUUCCUCUCUUUAAAUGUCAAAUAAUGAAGAUAUUUUUGUAUUAUUUAGAAAAACCUUCAAACCUCAGAGUGAGAUAUAUAUAGAUAGAUUUGGGUUUGCAAUGCAGUCUGUAAUAUGGUGUCAAACUAUUCCACAUGAGAAUACUUUCGUACUUGAGAUUAUCUGUAAUUAACUAUACAGUGGGUUAAUUCCUUUUCUUUUUCUGGUUCUUUAUAAAUAUGUGAGAUAUUCUUACAGUCUUUGUAGCUGUUUUCACUCUGCUGUGUUUGCCAUUUUCAGUUUCUGAUGGGAAUUCAGAAAGAUUUGAAAUUAAGAUGUGAGAAUAAAGUGCAUAAAAGGGAACAUAUUAGAUCUGCACUUAUUUAUAUUCAGAAAGCGUGUCAUUGUGGGUGGAGGAAAGGAGCGUGCAUCUCUGCUCCUACAUUAUCAUUUCAUCUAGGCCAUUUUUAUUUUAUUGGAACAGAUUAAAUCAAAGGGAAAUGGUUCUUCAUUUUUUACACAUAGCAAAAAGAGGCAUCUUUGACCUUGUAAAGAUGAGAGAGUCUAAUCUUGCUCUGUCAGUAGAAAAAAAA